ACAACCCAUUUAAUAUUAACAUUUAAAUAUUUGAAUAAAAGGGUGAGCAACUAUAUAAAUGCAAUACAUAACUGGUAUUAAUCCUGAGUAUUAGGCUAGAUCGACAGCUGCAGUAAAGCUAUCUGGCAGGCUGUACCCGCAAAAGGGACAGCCUGUUGGAUACUGCCGUUCAUCGCCAGGCCCCAUUGACUAUAAGUGUCGGGUUUCGGUCAGACAUAAAAUGGUGGGUGCACCAGUUUUUGUCAAGCUCCCAUUAUAGUUAAUGGCGUCUAGCGGUGAACGGCAGUAUCCGGCUAGGCUUUACCUAAGGCCUGACAGUGUCCCUUUAAAGUCUUCACUCAUUUAGGACUGCAGUCACAGAUCUGCUGUCUUCUGAGUUCACAUACUCACACAUCCAUUCUGUGGAACACUCUGUACUAAGCUCGCUAGGCUGGUUGACUUGGUAGUAUAGCAUCUGCAGGCAGUGUACUGUAAUUUGAUGUAUAAAAAAAAGUCUGUGUUCCAGUGGCAACCAGCAGAAAAUUAAACACAUCACUGGACCAUAAAACAAGCUAUAAAUCAUAGUACAAGUAUUAUAUGUCGAUUAUAUGACAACUAUAAAAGAAUGAGUGCGAGUGUAACUACCCUUCCGUUUUUGGACUAGUCUUAACUAAAAUCAGGAGACACUUCUGAUAAAGUACUAUAUACAUUCACCCCAAACAAACAAAAAAAAAUGGCAUGUACAGGUCUCCUUAGCCACCAAUAUAGGUGUAAAAGUGAAGAAAAAGAACAAACUAAAAUAACACAAGGUAGGUACCCUUACAUGACAUAGCAAUAAAAAGUCAUACAAUUUUUUUAUAUUGUUCACCAACCUUUUGUUUUAUCGUCUCCACUGCUAUUUUUUGUAAUUUGUAUUUGUAUUUUUUUUAAGCCAAGGACUUUUAAGGUUUUGGUCAUUAAAGUAAGAACAUAAAUGUAGUACCUUAAAAAAAAACUGCUGUAAAAUAAUACAUGACAAGAGUA